CCGAUAAACGGACUACUGUGCUACCUUCGCCGGUGCAACGCGGUAAGGGAAUCCGGUGGAAAUCCGGAGCUGUCCCCGCAGCUGUAAGCCCCCAAGCGGGUACCACUCACGAUGCCACUGGACGCCCUCAGCGUCUGGGAAGGCGGGCGGUACCCCGAUACCCAUCGGGGGGUGAGCCAGAAGACCUGCCCCGUCGCGCCAUAUCCUG
rnacentral:ncRNA from 1 species